rnacentral:rRNA from 1 species
AGUUUGAUCCUGGCUCAGGAUGAACGCUGGCGGCGUGCCUAAUACAUGCAAGUCGAACGAAUCUCUUCGGAGAUGAGUGGCGAACGGGUGAGUAAUACAUAGGUAACCUGCCCCUGUGCGGGGGAUAACAGGAGGAAACUCCUGCUAAUACCGCAUAGCCAUGAGCACCGCAUGGAGCUCAUGCCAAAUAUCCUUUCGGGGAUAGCGCAGGGAUGGACCUAUGGCGCAUUAGCUUGUUGGCGGGGCAACGGCCCACCAAGGCAACGAUGCGUAGCCGGCCUGAGAGGGCGGACGGCCACAUUGGGACUGAGACACGGCCCAGACUCCUACGGGAGGCAGCAGUAGGGAAUUUUCGGCAAUGGGGGAAACCCUGACCGAGCAACGCCGCGUGAGCGAAGAAGGCCUUCGGGUCGUAAAGCUCUGUUGUAAAGGAAGAACGGCGCAUACAGGAAAUGGUAUGCGAGUGACGGUACUUUACCAGAAAGCCACGGCUAACUACGUGCCAGCAGCCGCGGUAAUACGUAGGUGGCGAGCGUUAUCCGGAAUCAUUGGGCGUAAAGAGGGAGCAGGCGGCCGCAAGGGUCUGUGGUGAAAGACCGAAGCUAAACUUCGGUAAGCCAUGGAAACCGGGCGGCUAGAGUGCGGAAGAGGAUCGUGGAAUUCCAUGUGUAGCGGUGAAAUGCGUAGAUAUAUGGAGGAACACCAGUGGCGAAGGCGACGGUCUGGGCCGCAACUGACGCUCAUUCCCGAAAGCGUGGGGAGCAAAUAGGAUUAGAUACCCUAGUAGUCCACGCCGUAAACGAUGGUCACUAAGUGUCGGGGGUCAAACCCCGGUGCUGCAGUCAACGCAAUAAGUGACCCGCCUGAGUAGUACGUUCGCAAGAAUGAAACUCAAAGGAAUUGACG